rnacentral:piRNA from 1 species
UUCACCAGGAUUCAGAAUGCUGUAGUGGAA